UUUCUAAUAAACGCUUAUCCUCACAAGACGUUCGCGAUCUUCACUCGACGCCGAGCUAAUUGAACGGUCGGAGGUGAGGAGAUCUGGCAAUUCACGAAUCCGAGACGAUGCACUUGGUUCAUAAGAAGAAGAAGAAGCGAUCCCACGGUUCGUCCCGGGAGAUUCUACGAGGGUGGAAAUUUUUUUUUGAAGAAAAUGGAGUUGGCCUUUGUCCGAGUGGCGAAGUGAUGACUUUAUCCAAUCGACUCACUCAAUUUCUCAUCUGUAUUCUUUCUCUAUCCAUGGGCUGACCCGCGGUCCUAUCCAUGGAAGAAAGAGAAAGAACCGGGUGAGGGAGAGAAGCGCCCAUGAGUUAUGGUCGCCAUUACGGUACCGAUAAUUAUAUGCUGCUCCAUAGCCGCUCCCUCCUGUACGUUCUACGAAAGAAGCGAGAGGUACGGUAGAUGAUAUCCUGCCUGCCGACAAACAACUUCGAACAGCCGACCUUUAACGUAACCGUACGUACAUCGACCAUACGUUCCCUCCUGACUGCCUCGAUCGAUCCAUCGAUACGUUCCGGUAUUUCAAAAGAGUCGAAAAUACGGGAGUACUUUUGACGAAGAAUGAUGGCCGAAAUAUUGUGGGUUGCGUCCCGACGAAUUGAAAAAUUGAUGAGACAGUGAAGAAUUGGGGGGAGAAAAGAUUUGUAACCGGACACGGACACGGCACUCACACACGCAGUAAUGAGAAAUCCCCAUUGUCUGGAAAUGGUGGUCGUACAUAUCGAGGAAAGGACUCGAUCGUUUCCUUACAACUCCCUGCGGCCCACUUAUUAUGCUGAUUCACUGACAGAAUGCAAUCAUCUAAGUAUUUCAUAAUGGUUAUUAUCGCAUUAAAUUACCCGGAAUAACAAAAAGAUAAAUUAAAAGAAAAACCAAAAAGAAAAGAGAUUAAAUUUAAAAUGUUUCGUCAAGAAAAAUAUAAGUAAAUUGAAAACUGAGUCACAACAUGAAGUAAGCAUAGAUAUCAAUGCGAAAGUUUUAGAUAUUUGUUUAAAGAUUAUAAAGAUUAUAAAGAGAUAGUGUUGAAUAAAUUAUAGUUUAGUAAUAAUAAUGGAUAAAUGUUAGGACGUAUAUGACGCGCCUGGUGUACACAGUACGAGAUUCUUUUCUUCGCGCGCCAGUGCUACCACUCGCUCCAUUCACCUGGCAAUCGCGCCAACAUAAAUCUAACCGUACGGGUGGUAUAGAAAUAAAAUAAUAUUGCACGCGAGUAACUCACAUCAAAGAAAACGAUGACCUAUGCAAAAAUGUACACAGGCAACAAAUAUCUUAGAAAACACUUGCAGCAGCCAUCCCGGAUACUUAAUGACAAUCAAAUAAAUCCACCUUGGGAAACACUUCCGUAACUUCGGAACGCGGGAUUGCACCUCGUUGAAGAAACAUAAUUGUCGGGCCGUAAUUCAGUUUCCGAUUGAGAUCGCGUAACUUAUUGAGACAUCGGUGUGCUUAAUGCGCCGUUACGUCACGCUCCGUGACUUUUACAGUAACAAAUUGGGACAGCAUUAUGCUCGUGCAUGAGUUUCGACCACAAUAUUAUAGCGUGCGAACGUCAUUAGCAUAACCAACAAGCUCAACACAGCGCCCCGCGCAGGAUGCAGACGCGCCGAACACAGAACGUUGUUAGCUACACGUGUAAAGUUCAUCGGGAGGGGAGAAGGGACGCGCGCGCGAGGAACGCAACGAAUUUAUGGGAACACACCAGGUGUAUCCCAGCAGUUCUUGAUCUUCUGAGUCGCUGUGUGAACGCGCCCUGACAUAUUCUCAAACUGCAUGUCUCAAUUUUCAUUCGCGCUACUUA